rnacentral:rRNA from 1 species
GAUUCCGGGAGUAGUGGCGAGCGAAACUGGAUGAGGCCAAACCGUAUGCGUGUGAGACCCGGCAGGGGUUGCGCAUGCGGGGUUGUGGGAUCUCUCUUCCACGGUCUGCCGGCCGUGGGACGAGUCAGAAACCGUUGAUGUAGGCGAAGGACAUGCGAAAGGUCCGGCGUAGAGGGUAAGACCCCCGUAGUCGAAACGUCAGCGGCUCGUUUGAGA